CUCUGAGUAUGACUUCAUAAAGGUCAAGUUCCUCUCCCAGCCAACGUGACACUUCUUUGCGGCCAAUGGACCUCCAAGUGACCUGCAACUUCAGGCUGUACACAAAGGUGCUCUUCAGGUGUUUAAUGUCACAGAAAAGACUUCCUCGACUCUGAAGGAGUUCUGAAAGAAAGAUUUCAGUGUCCUCCACUGCAUCAAACUCAUUGACAAAGCCUGAGAAGAUGUCACACAACAGACCUCAAACUCAGAAGAAACUGCGGCCAGGAUGUGUCACUGAAUGUGGCUUUGAAGGGUCUGAUGCACAGGCAGUGGAGGAGAUGUGUCCAUGGGCAGGAAGAUGGGUCUGGACAUCGAUGGUGCAGACAUAGAGGAGCUCGUUGAGAGCUGUAAGGAGCUGAUGACAGACCUUACUGAACUCCAGAGUGGAUACCAGAAGGGGCUUGUUGGGGAGUGUUCCACCGAGGAAAAGACAGACAGGGAGGAGGACGGCGGUGUUGUGAUAAAAUACAUUAUGGAAAAAUGGAAUGAGUACCAGGAUUUUUUUGAGAAAGCACCACCCCAACAUAGCAUGGUCUCUCAUUUCCAGAAGGUUUCAUUUUCCAUGCAGUGCUGGAAAAAACAAAUGAUAUUAGACAAAAUUUUUUUUAAUCAAGAUUGACCCUGGAGUUAAGAGACAGAGAAGAGAAGAAACUGCUGAAGGAGAUCUCCCCAAUGUCUUUAUGGAGGGGGACUCUCCCUCCAAACAAUAACUUCCUUCCCACCUACCUUCCUAUCAUCCAUGCCAGAAGUCACCUGAAGCAAGAAAGUUGGACCCCCCAGUCAUCAGCCAAGUGAUGGAAAAGUUCUGUCCCAAAAGCCACCUGUCAGAUGCACAAGUCACACCACAUCACUGCUGUUGGAGAGCCUGGCAGCAACACUGGCUCGCUGUCCUGUGCUUCCUCUCUGUUUUAUGAAGUGCUUGACGCCUCCUCUGUGCACUGGACUCAGCAGUCACUUAAAGGGAGAGGAGCAGCCCUUGCUACCAAGGCUCACACUUCUCUCCUCUCGCACCUGGAGGAAUCAGGGAGCUCCUCAGACCCAUGGGCCACACCUGACUGGCAGAGCCAGUGUCGACGUGAAGAAGCACUGAACACAAUGCCCGUUGCAGCUCACACACUUCCCUUCCAUGGCAGGUGCUAUGGCCAGGGCCCUCAGAGGAUCCGGGGCACCUCGGGCAGUCACUGGCCGAUGACAGAAACAACUCUGCUUGUCCUUGAAGCUGUCUAAGCAAUGUGGUCACUGUUUGCUGGGGCACCUGAGGGGCAGCUGCUGAGGAGGGCUGAACAAUUGGGAGCCCCGCUUCUGCCUGGAGAGGCUGCUGGACCUUGGGAUGGUGAACACACACAGGGACCUGAGGACACAAGAGCUUUGAGCUCUGGGUGUGUUGCCAAAACAGUUCUAUCAGGCCAUUUGAGAGCUCACAUGGUCUUUACACAUCAUUAAAACUGAAUAAAAGUAACUUGUGGCAUAACUGCCGUGUUCAGCAGUUAGGUCCCUCUNNNNNNNNNNNNNNNNNNNNNNNNNNNNNNNNNNNUUUCCCUACCAGGGCCAUGAAGGCACUGCUUAGUUUCUUAAGCACUCUAUUCCUGUGGCAUCCUUGGCUUGGAGAGUGAGUACAGAAGGGACUGCUUCACUUAGCAUCGGCAUCAGUAACUGCCAGAUCCUGCCAAGUGUUGGAGUUUUGUUCCGAGAACACUCUGUGAUGAAUUUUGAUUCCUCUCGGUGGACUGCAAAAACAAGAGAGAGCCUAAUUCAAAAGCUGUUUAUAUUAGUUAUCGAUCAUUUUCUGUAAACCA
rnacentral:lncRNA from 1 species